GAAGGUGGCAAGCGUUAUUCGGAUUUACUGGGCGUACAGGGAGCGUAGGCGGUUCGGUAAGCCCUUUGUGAAAUCUCCAGGCUUAACCUGGAAAAGUCGGAGGGGACUGCCGGGCUAGAGGACGGGAGAGGAGCGCGGAAUUCCCGGUGUAGCGGUGAAAUGCGUAGAGAUCGGGAGGAAGGCCGGUGGCGAAGGCGGCGCUCUGGAACGUUUCUGACGCUGAGGCUCGAAAGCGUGGGGAGCAAACAGGAUUAGAUACCCUGGUAGUCCACGCCUUAAACUAUGAAUACUAAGUGUCGGCGGGUUACCGCCGGUGCCGCAGCUAACGCAUUAAGUAUUCCGCCUGGGAAGUACGGCCGCAAGGUUG
rnacentral:rRNA from 1 species